UCAAACUUGGUCAUUUAGAGGAAGUAAAAGUCGUAACAAGGUUUUCGUAGGUGAACCUGCGGAAGGAUCAUUAGUGAAUCUCUUGGGAGUCCCUCUUAACCGGAGAAGGCCCAAUUUUCCACUAUCUUUCAAACCCUAGUGCAUUUGUCCCUUUUUUUACCUUUAACCCUUUUGCAUUCGAAAAGGUUGUUGUGAAUUACCAAGUUGAUAAAUUGAAAGAAAAACUUUCAGCAAUGGAUCUCUUGGCUCUCGCAUCGAUGAAGAACGCAGC
rnacentral:misc_RNA from 1 species